GAUGAACGCUGGCGGCGUGCCUAAUACAUGCAAGUCGAACGCAUUGUGGUUGAAAUGAUAUGAAGAACUUGUUCAGAUUUGAUUUUAAACAUUGCAAUGAGUGGCGAACGGGUGAGUAACACGUGGGAAACCUACCUCUUAGCAGGGGAUAACAUUUGGAAACAAAUGCUAAUACCGUAUAAUAUUAAAACCGCAUGGUUUUAGUUUAAAAAGAUGGUCUUUGCUAUCACUAAGAGAUGGUCCCGCGGUGUAUUAGUAGUUGGUGAGGUAAUGGCUCACCAAGACAAUGAUACAUAGCCGAGUUGAGAGACUGACCGGCACAAUGGGACUGAGACACGGCCCAUACUCCUACGGGAGCAGCAGUAGGGAAUCUUCCACAAUGGACGAAAGUCU
rnacentral:rRNA from 1 species